UUCCCUGGCAGUUCCCUGGUGAGACUCUGAGCUUCCACCGCAGGGGGCACAGGUUCGAUCUCUGGCCGGGGAACUGACAUCCCUCAUGCUGCGUGGUGCGGACAAAAAUAAAAAACAAAUAUUAUGUAAAUAGAG